rnacentral:ncRNA from 1 species
UCAAACAUGUUGACUGAGAGAGUACGCGCGAGGUUCUGUCCUCCUGCAGAGAGGGGCGCCGCAGGCUGCAAGCGCCCGGGGAUGGUUUCGCGCCGAAGUUCACUCACGAGUGGCUUUGCUGAAGGUUGCGGCUGGUAGGCAGAGACGGGUGUUCCCGUUACAGAACAACAGAGUGUUUGCUCUUGUACAAUCGUACGGCAAAAACGUGGGUGGUACCGCGGAGUUUACGAACAGGUAAGCUUCGUCCCUGUC